UACAGAGGGUGCAAGCGUUAAUCGGAAUUACUGGGCGUAAAGCGCGCGUAGGUGGUUUGUUAAGUUGGAUGUGAAAUCCCCGGGCUCAACCUGGGAACUGCAUUCAAAACUGACAAGCUAGAGUAUGGUAGAGGGUGGUGGAAUUUCCUGUGUAGCGGUGAAAUGCGUAGAUAUAGGAAGGAACACCAGUGGCGAAGGCGGCACUCUGGGCCGGAACUGACGCUGAGGAGCGAAAGCGUGGGGAGCGAACAGG
rnacentral:rRNA from 1 species